AUGGCUCGUGCUCAUUAUUUUUUAAAGUAUAAAUGAACUUGGAGGGGAUUUUUAUUUUUUGAGUGUAGUGACUCAUUCUCUCCACCAGGGUUCAGUCAGGCGUAGCUUUUUCAUCCAUGUAAUGGGAGAGGUACAGUUUGUUGACCUUUUUUCUAAUUGCAAAGCUGCUUUUAAUACUUUGAGGUGUGCCCCCAGGAAUAAAAAACGGGGAAAGGGUAACGUCACCUCCAGGAGUGGCCCAGGAGGAGAUAGAUACCUGAGGGGACGGAAGCAUGAAAGAGACCCCCUGCAGACUCGGUGAAAGGAAAGCCCGGACGUUUUCUUCCCUCUGCUUUGGCUCUGCGACCUCCAAGUCGCUCUGCCUGUCCAUCAUCAGCUCGCUUUCCCUUAACCAGGUCCCUCUGUUCCUUCUUGUUCAUGGCGAGCUCACACUUGGUUACCACGGUCCUGGCAGGUCCUGGCAAUCGCUCCUUCUGCUUUGUUGACUUUCAAUUCUAGGAGCAAAAAAUGGUGAGGGAAAUCCUGCCCUGUUUUGCUAAUGCUUUGGAUUUGGGUAGUGAUGAGAGAAUUGUUUCCCAACUGGGUCCCUUCCUUGCCCUCCCUCCCCUUUUUUCUUUCCUUUCUUCCCAUCCUCUCUGUUUUAUCAAGACCUCUGGGCUGUACCCCUAGCCUUUUUUACAUAUGUUUUGUUUGUUUGUUUCUUUUAAUUUGGAGACAAUGUUAUUCCUUGGAAACUACAGCUCCCAGACUUCUCCUGGAUUACCAUCACCUGUGUGCGUGCUGGCCACGCCCAGGUGAAGGCCAUUCCUCCCAGAUAACCUUGCGCCCCCCGUUAAAAGCGAAGGUCCACGAGGUUUCCCUCCUCUUGGCCCCCCUCUUGGCCCUUUUCCCCCCUACCCUUGUGUGUCGCACGUCCCACCCCUUACUGUGUUCCCCUCUCCCCAUUAAAACACACCCACGUGGGAGCCGCG